GAAAACUUAAGAUGAUACAUAACAUUUCAUUAGGACCUUUAUCUCUCUUUGGACCUCUAAAACUCGAAACUUAAUAUAUUAAAACUUGUUACAUGACUGCACGACACAGGUUACUUGAUGCAAAUUUAGACUACAGAACUUUUUUGUGUGCCAUGACAACCAAAAUAUUAAUAGCGUGGUGGCCUACCAAUAGAUGCAAUGCAUUGGAAAAAAAACAGCAACAACAACAAACCACACAAAAAACAGAAGCAUCAAAAGGCUGUUAAAUUCCUUUAAAAUGUCAUAAGAUUGCUUAAGGUUUAAAGACACUUUUAACUCUUAAUAUCCAACAUAUUAAUUCCUUGGAAAAAAAUGCAUCUAUUCUCAUUCGGUAGCUCU